rnacentral:rRNA from 1 species
CAGCCGCCGCGGUAAUACCGGCGGCCCGAGUGGCGGUCACUAUUAUUGGGCUUAAAGCGUCCGUAGCCGGGUUGGGAAGUCCUCCGGGAAAUCUGGCCGCUUAACGGUCAGAAUGCCGGAGGAUACUCCCAGCCUAGGGAGCGGGAGAGGCCGAGGGGAUUCCCGGAGUAGGGGGGAAAUCCUAUAAUCCCGGGAGGACCACCUGUGGCGAAGGCGCUCGGCUGGAACGCGUCCGACGGUGAGGGACGAAGGCCAGGGGAGCAAACCGGAUUAGAUACCCGGGUAGUCCUGGCGGUAAACGAUGCGGGCUAGCUGUUGGGUGGGCUGAGAGCCCACCCAGUGGCGCAGGGAAGCCGUUAAGCCCGCCGCCUGGGGAGUACGGCCGCAAGGCUGAAACUUAAAGGAAUUGGCGGG